GGUCCCGUGGCGCAUUGGUCAACGCGCUGGGCUGCCUCGCUACAGAAAUAUAGGAGACGCGGGUUUAAUUCCCGCCAGGACCA